GGUGACUGGGGGGCAGCGGCAGCGGUAAGGCAGGGGGGGCAAAAGUUGUUCGGGAUUACGGGGGUGAAGUGGUGUGUAGGCGGUCUCGCAAGUCGGAUGUGAAAGCCCCGGGCUCAACCCGGGAAGUGCACUCGAUACUGCAAGACUCGAGUUUCGGAGAGGUUGGUGGAAUUCUCGGUGUAGAGGUGAAAUUCGUAGAUAUCGAGAGGAACACCGGUGGCGAAGGCGGCCAACUGGACGAAAACUGACGCUGAGACACGAAAGCGUGGGGAGCAAACAGGAUUAGAUACCCGGGUAGUC
rnacentral:rRNA from 1 species